rnacentral:tRNA from 1 species
GCGGGAUUGGUUUAGUGGCAGAAUGGUUGCUUCCCAAGCAACAGACGCGAGUUCGAUUCUCGCAUCCCGCA